UUGUACUUUUUCUUUUGAAGAAGAAGGCCGCAGCUCAGAGUUGCACGACUCACCCUUCAUUCCAAAUCUGCUUUUGCAAGUUUCACCUAGAAAAGUUGCAGCUUCUUCAUCAGAUUGAAACAUCAAAGUUAUAGCUAAUUAGGCUUCUCAUAAUCGAGUUGCACUGACCAGAAAUCAACAACUCGAUCUGUGAAUACUUAACUGGCACUAUGAAAGUUGUCCUUGAUUCAGAUUAUACAGUAAUUGCAUCACCAAUAAGUUUCCUAAUCCUAACGAGGAAGAAAACAAACGAAAACUAGUGGGGUUCUUGUCCCAUUUCUGAGGCUCAGUUUGGAUUUUAUAAGGAAAACCAUGUGCUCCUCUGCAGCAUUUUACAGACGUGUAGGGUAUAUAGGCAAGCUUGUCAUAAGCGAGACUACGUGUGUACAAGAAAUCGUAUGACUCACCACUAAGCUCAAACCAGCAGCAGCUACAGAGCCUCCAGCGCAUGGUUUCUUCAAUACCUUAUUUACUUCAUUCUACAACUUGUACUCUUACUCCCUCUAUAAAAGCAAGACCAUCUCACCAUGUUUGCACAAGCAUCCUUCAAAGCUUUGCUUGAUUAGCAUCAUACAAGAGCAUCAAACUUUUGAUUCCAUUUAGAAGAUCAAGAUCAUCAACAAUAUGAGUUCUUCAUCAUCAGUAGCAAACAGGGCUUGGAUGGUAGCAGCGAGUGUGGGAGCUGUGGAGGCCUUGAAAAGAGACCAAGGGAUCUGCAGGUUGAGUCAAACAAUGAGAUUGGUGCAACAACAUGCCAAGACCCACCUCAGAUCUCUUUCUCAGGCGAACCAGAGACUCUCUUCCUCAUACUCUGCUUUGUUUUCAAGGAAACUCAGAGAUGAGAUGCUGAACCAGUCUGAGGAGUCUAUGAGGAAUGUCAUGUACCUCAACUCUUGGGGUCCCAACUAACCAAGUCUGCUUGUUUUACAGAGAAUGCAUGAUUGUAAUUAGAUUGUAGAUUUCUAAUUCUCUGUAAUACAUGGAAGAAAUUAAUACGAGACUCGAUCCAUUUUGGCAUAUUAUCAUUAGCCCUCUUGCAACCCAAAGCAUCACUGGUCCUCUUACUCAGGUUUUCUAAUUUUAACUUCUUACCAUUAGAUUUUCUCUAUCCUAAUCUUUAGCCCGAGAAGAGUUAAAAAAAGGUGCUUCUAAAUGUACCCAGCAAAUUGCUAGUUACACUCAAUAUUUCAAUUUUUAUCAUAUUUUUUUCUAUUUUGUCCCUAUGUCUAUUUACACCCAGCAAGUCUUCUUCAAAAAAUCAAACACAAGCACCCAACACCUCUCUCUCUCUCUUCCAUUAUCAGAAGUUUGUUUCAAGCACAAUAUAAAGAUCAAGAGCAAACUAUUUAUUAUGAUUAUUGUUUAUAAAUUUGACCUUAAAACUUCAUAUUAAAUUGGAAAACAAAGAGAUCGUGAUUGAAUUCUAGUAAAGAGCAAUUGAUUGAACCAUUGAGGGUAAAUGUAUAAAGAGAAGAUAAAUAAAUGGUGUGAGAGAAGAACAUUAGUGGAGAGGAUCGGAAAUCUAGGUUUAUCCAUUCUGGGUUCUUCCUAUUGUUUUAUCAAACCUGGGUUCAUCAUAUUGCUCAUUUCAUGAUUAUUGUUUCUCCUUAAUCGACUCAACUUAUAAUUAUCUAUCAAAGAUUUUCAUUGUGCUUCAAAGCUAUACAGUUAUUUUUGAUAUCAGAAGAACAAUGAGGGCAAAAACCAUCGAAGAUCGGAGGAUCGGAAAGUUCCUGAAAAUGUCGAAGGAAAAAACUGCAGUUUUUAAUUCAUCUUUGUUUGUUUUUAGAUAAGGGUAAAAUUGGCCAAAACACUAAUACGGGGUACAUUUAGUAAUUAGCUGAGUACAUUUAGCAACACCCUUAAAAAAUAACCAGUGGAUUUCCUCCGAUACCUGAGGCUUUGAUGGAUUUAAUAAGGAAACCUGUGUAGUGAAGUAACCGAGCGGUGACACUUGGCAAUGAUGACGUUGAAACCAAACUCACCCUCAAGUAAAACCAUUGCCUGCAGCUCAUGG
rnacentral:lncRNA from 1 species